rnacentral:piRNA from 1 species
UAGAUUAUUGUCUGUACUGCUUUGUCUGA